CCCGCACAAGCAGCGGAGCGUGUGGUUUAAUUCGAUGUUACACGAAGAACCUUACCAGGGUUUGACAUGCAAGUGGUAGGAAGCCGAAGGUGACCGACCCUUCGGGGAGCUUGCACAGGUGCUGCAUGGCUGUCGUCAGCUCGUGUCGUGAGAUGUUCGGUUAAGUCCGCUAACGAGCGCAACCCUCGCUGUGUGUUAUAUGUGUCACACGGGAUUGCCGGUCUUAAGCCGGAGGAAGGUGGGGAUGAUGUCAAGUCAGCAUGGCCUUUAUAUCCUGGGCUACACACACGCUACAAUGGCCAACACAAUAGGUUGCUAAGCCGCGAGGUGGCGCCAAUUCAUAAAGUUGGUCUCAGUUCAGAUUGUAGGCUGCAACCCGCCUGCAUGAAGAUGGAGUUGCUAGUAACCGCAGGUCAGCUAUACUGCGGUGAAUACGUUCCCGGGGCUU
rnacentral:rRNA from 1 species